rnacentral:misc_RNA from 1 species
GUGAAGAACGCAGCGAAAUGCGAUAAGUAGUGUGAAUUGCAGAAUUCAGUGAAUCAUCGAAUCUUUGAACGCACCUUGCGCUCCUUGGUAUUCCGAGGAGCAUGCCUGUUUGAGUGUCAUUAAUAUAUCAACCUUCUCUUUUUUGAGUUGUUUGGAUGUGGGGGUUUGCUGGCCUCUUAAAUGAUUCAGCUCCCCUGAAAUGCAUUAGCAGAACAACCUGUUCAUUAGCGUGAUAAUUAUCUAUGCUAUUGAAUGUGAGGGCAGUUCAGCUUUCUAACCGUCCUUGGACAAUUCAUCAUUAAUGUGACCUCAAAUCAGGUAGGACUACCCGCUGAACUUAAGCAUAUCAAUAAGCGGAGGA